CACCAAUUUCACGGCACCGUUUGUUUGCGCAUGGCCAGUUGCUCUCGAAGUCUUUCGGUCCCCCUCGAAACAACCGGCAUCUUUGCACUACAACAUCUUAUCACUGGAGCGUCAACGCUUGGGGGUAUUUGGCUAAAUAAAGAAGGGUGGCCGAAUCAUGACAUGAGCAGAUCGACUGAAUUUCAAUGGAGUCUUUGAAUGCCGUAGAGCUCUGUGAAUUGGGGGAUGGCGACAAGCCCGCUGCCUGCGAGGUCACUACAACUCCUCGAAAAGCUACCCAGUCAAGACCUCGGACAGUAGCUAGCACUGGAAUCGAGAACACGUCAUAUCAGGACGAGGAGCACGAGACGAGGUUCAGUCACCAGGGAGCAGACAGCUCGAGUGUUCAUCGGUCCACGUCUAAUGACAGGGGCUAUCAGUCACAACCCCAGCCUUUCCAGCGAGAUGAGCUGUCACACCGCUCUGAGGGACAUGAGACUGACUUUAAAAACCAUUCACUCGACUACGGGUUCAUAUUUGCCAUGGUGUUCUUGGUGAGUGGAAUUGUACUGGUGGUCAUUGCCUACACCAUUCCCCGAGAGGCUAAGGUCAACCCAGAUCUGGUGUCAGCCCGUCAGAUGGAGAAACUGGAGAUGUACUACACACAACUGGGCUCGCACCUCGACAAGUGUAUCAUAGCAGGCCUGGGACUGUUAACUCUAGGGGGAAUGCUCUUGUCCAUCUUGCUAAUGGUGUCCAUAUGCAAAGGUGAGCUGUACCACCGGAGGACAUUUUUCCAACCCAGGAAAACAUACGGGUCGAUUCACCUCCAGAUGAGACAGUUUGGCAAGGUGGAAGAAUCUCUGUUUGAAUGUGAACUUAGCCACACUGGCACCACAGCUCUAGCCACUAGGCCUACAGAUGGAUCACAGGUGCAUAGUGGCACCCAACAGGAGUAGCACAAUAUGAGCACAUUUCUAUCCACAGACCUAUGUCAAGGGUUGUAAUCAUUGCUUAACGGGCUUUGUAAAAAAGUGAAGCCAGCAAGAUACAGAGACUUGUGAAACACUGUCUGUGGAUGAAGAGGAUUAUGGGGACCUACUGUAUAUUAGCAAAUUCUAUACAAAAAUACAGUUUAAAAAUCAAUAUGUAUAAAGCUAUUUCAACUAGAGCAGGCCAACCCUGCUGGGUGUGCAGGCUUCUGUUCCAGCCCAGCACUAACACACCUGAUUCAAUUUAUCAGAACUAAGUAGUUGAUAAUCAAGUGUGCUAUCGCUUGAACAGAAGUCUGCUCACCCAAUAGAUCAGGGAUCAGUGGAAGGAGGUUGGCCACCUCUGGUAUUGACUUUCUUUUGUUCACCUGAAAUUAUGCUUUAGUAAUAAUAGCCUACUUGUUACUAAGAUGUCCAACCUUUACAUAUGAGUUUGAUCACUUUCAUAUUUCAAAGUAUAAAAGUAAGCUUUCUUUGAAGUGAAGUGCUUAAACUUGUUUUUCGUGAUGAAGUACUGUCAAUGUUAAUUAAUCACAGAUCACAAUUGUGCUAGAAAGAGAGGAAGAGAAUAUGUCUCUAAUUUGUCUGUUUCUGUGGUGUAUUCUCAAAUGAACAAACGGUACCUCUUUGUUUAGUCUGAAGCUCUCCAAUUAGUUUUAUCCUGAAAAAAAGAGUGACAAUCAAAUAUCAGCCAUGUGAAGCCAUUUUGCAGCUUGUUAUGGUAUGCAACACCAAUGUAGCCAUAGGCCUACAGCAGUGGUCCCCAACUCCAGUCCUUGAGUACUCCCAACAGUACACACAAUUCUUCAACUCAUUGAGGGCCUGAUGAUUAGUUCACAAGUUGAAUCAGGUUUGUUUGCCCGGGGCUUCAAUAGAACUGAACUGUUGGGGGUACCUGAGGACCAGAGUUAGGAACCAUUGACCUACAGUAUGAUGGCAUUAGUCUUAUGGUUGUUUGCAAGGCACCCAAUUGACAUUCUGCAUCUGACCCGAGAAUAGAUUAACUCACAUAUUGUUGAGCUAGAUGUUCUCAAUUUAAAAAUGAUACCACAAGACAAAGUAUGAGGCUAAUCGUUAUACUAGAGUUUGUACAUGCCUUGUGCUGACAUUUUACAUUGUUUAGUGCAAGUCCAACCUUUGCAAUCUAGGUGUUAAGAUGUCUGGAAGCAGGAGAUGAUGGAAUCCUUAUCUUAAAACAUACACACAACUACUACCAAGUUCAAUGCUCGACACUUUUCUCCCAGAAGGUCUGAGUGGCACUUGGAGGUGCCACUGUGAUAAUGAAGAUGGUUUGCCUUAGAACAUGUCAUUUUUGUGAUAGUCUAUGUUAAAUGUGUCUGAAUUGUAAAAUGAAGAAAAGUUAGGCAAUAAGAAAUACAUUUUAUUCAAUGGCGCAAGGAAAAGCAGACACAAAAUAUUUUGAAUGUCACCCAUACAACAAUAUAGCCUAUUAUUAAAGUACACUAUGUUUACAUAAACAAUAGUAUUUUACAUGUUCUAAAUUACAUAUUAUAUUAUUAUAUAUGUUAUAUAUUCAUACGGUUUAAGGGGGCACAUGUGUCAUGUCGACAAGGUGAAGGUGCCCUCUACUCAAAUGGCACAACAGAAUCAUUCAGAUUGACCAAAGCACAGCACAUGACAACCAUCUUGUACAACUGCGGGAUGUCUCCUUUCAUAUCUGGAUAAGGAUGAAGUAAUAGAAGUAGAAACUGAUGCUGCUGCACCAUUGCUCAUUUUCACAGGGGGAAUCCAGUCAACAUGGGUGUCUUGAUAGAGGUCUGCUGGUGAACCUACAGUACAUAACAAAUUAAAAGCCACCUGAUGUUAGAUUAUCACUUUUUCAGGUCACCUAUACCAUCAGGGCUCAUAAUUGUUUGGUUGUGUUUAAUUCAUUCAGCUGUUUUGGUGUCAAAUAAAGAGUAAAUAUAUUGUUGGGCUGGAACAACCAAUAUUCAAAACAGCAGGUUGUCUUAUCCUGAGGCCUUUGCUGUAAUGUCCAUACCU